UACGGAAGGCAGCAGUGGGGAAUAUUGCACAAUGGGCGCAAGCCUGAUGCAGCCAUGCCGCGUGUAUGAAGAAGGCCUUCGGGUUGUAAAGUACUUUCAGUCGUGAGGAAGGUGUUAAGGUUAAUAACCUUAGCAAUUGACGUUAGCGACAGAAGAAGCACCGGCUAACUCCGUGCCAGCAGCCGCGGUAAUACGGAGGGUGCGAGCGUUAAUCGGAAUUACUGGGCGUAAAGGGCACGCAGGCGGUUAAUUAAGUUGGAUGUGAAAUCCCCGGGCUUAACCUGGGAAUGGCAUUCAAGACUGGUUAGCUAGAGUCUUGUAGAGGGGGUAGAAUUCCAUGUGUAGCGGUGAAAUGCGUAGAGAUGUGGAGGAAUACCGGUGGCGAAGGCGGCCCCUGGCAAAGACUGACGCUCAUGUGCGAAAGCGUGGGGAGCGAAACAGGGAUUAGAUACC
rnacentral:rRNA from 1 species